UCCAAGCUAUUUUCAAAUUGGCAACAGGCAGGUAAGAAAAUAAGACAUUCUUGUUUUCACCAGUAGAUGGCAGAAGGAAGAAAAGACCACUCCGGAGAGGGAAGGAGUUUUAAUUUGGAGCCGAGUGAUUCACAGUGGGCUGUGGCUGAGGCACAGGGGCAGAUGAGGCAGACUCCUUGUAUGACUACAGUGGAGGACAGUCCCACUGGAACUAGGGGUCAGGGGUCAGGGUGGGGAGGAGAACUACCUACAGGUAUGUGAAGGGUGUCAGCCUUCAAGAAGAUCUGCUAGGUUGACCCAGAGGAUGGGGACUGGGAGCCCCGAAGUAAAGAAAAUAAAAGUGACCUUUGGACUGCCAGAAGAUUCACGUGAAACCUCACAUAAAAUCAGCAUGUGAAGACAGAGAGGAUGUUGGUGAUCACCAGAAUCUGUUCAUUUUUCCUUUGAAGAUACUUAAAGGAAGUAUGUGUAUGUUUACAGAUGCUUUGUAGUUUUAAAUUUAUGCUGGACAUUGCAUAAAAUGGAAAAUAGAGGUUAAAGUAAUAUUUGCUCCCAACAAAGGACCAUCCUACAGGAAGCUGAGUAAGUAUAAUCUGAAGUUAAAGUGAGCCUGGGGUAUUUUGUGUUUUUGGUUUUUUUUUUUUUUUUUGCAGUUUUAGUUAGAUUCCGAUCACCAUGGGCUUCAGAUGUUUUGACAGCGGGAUCAAGAUGUUCUCCUCAGCAAAGCUUAGGAUAUGACACCUGCAAGAGCACAGAGAUCUCCUUAUGCUUUUUAUCUAGCCACCAGUUUUACAAACCAUGGCGAUCCCUGUCGUUGGUAUUGGAGUGUUACUGCUCCUAGGCCCUCUUUGUGGACAGAG
rnacentral:lncRNA from 1 species